AGAUUAUUAGUUUAAAUUAAAACAUUUGAUUUCGGCUCAAAAAACCGUGGUUAAAACCCACAAUAAUCUA